rnacentral:rRNA from 1 species
AUUGAACGCUGGCGGCAGGCCUAACACAUGCAAGUCGAGCGAGCGGCGGACGGGUGAGUAAUGUCUGGGGAACUGCCUGAUGGAGGGGGAUAACUACUGGAAACGGUAGCUAAUACCGCAUACCAUCGGAUGUGCCCAUAUGGGAUUAGCUAGUAGGUGGGGUAAGGGCUUACCAAGGCGACGAUCCCUAACUGGUCUGAGAGGAUGAUCAGCCACACUGGAACUGAGACACGGUCCAGACUCCUACGGGAGGCAGCAGUGGGGAAUAUUGCACAAUGGGCGCAAGCCUGAUCCAGCCAUGCCGCGUGUAUGAAGAAGGUCUUCGGGUUGUAAAGUACUUUCAGCGGGGAGGCGUUACCAGCAGAAUAAGCACCGGCUAACUCCGUGCCAGCAGCCGCGGUAAUAC